rnacentral:rRNA from 1 species
GCUGGCGGCGUGCCUAACACAUGCAAGUCGAGCGAUUUACUUCGGUAAAGAGCGGCGGACGGGUGAAUAACGCGUGGGUAACCUGCCCUGUACACACGGAUAACAUACCGAAAGGUAUGCUAAUACGAGAUAAUAUGCUUUUAUCGCAUGGUAGAAGUAUCAAAGCUUUUGCGGUACAGGAUGGACCCGCGUCUGAUUAGCUAGUUGGUAAGGUAACGGCUUACCAAGGCGACGAUCAGUAGCCGACCUGAGAGGGUGAUCGGCCACAUUGGAACUGAGACACGGUCCAAACUCCUACGGGAGGCAGCAGUGGGGAAUAUUGCACAAUGGGCGAAAGCCUGAUGCAGCAACGCCGCGUGAGCGAUGAAGGCCUUCGGGUCGUAAAGCUCUGUCCUCAAGGAAGAUAAUGACGGUACUUGAGGAGGAAGCCCCGGCUAACUACGUGCCAGCAGCCGCGGUAAUACGUAGGGGGCUAGCGUUAUCCGGAAUUACUGGGCGUAAAGGGUGCGUAGGUGGUUUCUUAAGUCAGAGGUGAAAGGCUACGGCUCAACCGUAGUAAGCCUUUGAAACUGGGAAACUUGAGUGCAGGAGAGGAGAGUGGAAUUCCUAGUGUAGCGGUGAAAUGCGUAGAUAUUAGGAGGAACACCAGUUGCGAAGGCGGCUCUCUGGACUGUAACUGACACU